GACGAACGCUGGCGGCGUGCUUAACACAUGCAAGUCGAACGGAAAGGCCCUGCUUUCGGGGUACUCGAGUGGCGAACGGGUGAGUAACACGCGGGUGAUCUGCCCUGCUCUUCGGGAUAUGCUUGGGAAACUGGGUCUAAUACCGGAUAGGAACCAUCUUUAGUGUGGUGGUUGGAAAGUUUUUUCGGUGUAGGGUGAGCUCGCGGCCUAUCAGCUUGUUUGUGGGGUAAUGGCCUACUAAGGCGGCGGCGGGUAGCCGGCCUGCGGGGGUGUACGGCCACAUUGGGACCUAGGUACGGCCCAGGCUCCGACGGGAGGCAGCAGGGGGGAAGAUUGCACAAUGGGCGCAAGGCGGGUGCAGCGACGCCGCGUGGGGGAAGAAGGGCUUCGGGUUGUAAAAUCCUUUCGCUAGGGACGAAGCUUUUUGUGACGGUACCUAGAUAAGAAGCACCGGCUAACUACGUG
rnacentral:rRNA from 1 species